GCUGUGGAUAGGGGUGAAAGGCUAAACAAAUCCGGAAAUAGCUGGUUCUCCCCGAAAACUAUUUAGGUAGUGCGUCUUAUAUCACUGACGGGGUAAAGCACUGUUAUGGCUAGGGGUCAUCGCGACUUACCAAACCAUGGCAAACUCUGAAUACCGUCAAGUGCGAGUAAGGCAGACAGACAGUGGGUGCUAACGUCCAUUGUCAAGAGGGAAACAACCCAGACCGCCAGCUAAGGUCCCCAAGACACAGUUAAGUGGGAAACGAAGUGGGAAGGCAUAGACAGCUAGGAGGUUGGCUUAGAAGCAGCCACCCUUUAAAGAAAGCGUAAUAGCUCACUAGUCGAGUCGUCCUGCGCGGAAGAUGUAACGGGGCUCAAACUGUGCACCGAAGCUGCGGAUAUCGAAAGAUAUGGUAGGGGAGCGUUCUGUAGGUCUGUG
rnacentral:rRNA from 1 species